AGAAACCCUAGCCGCUUUUAAGAUGUUGGCAUCUUUUCCGGCGUCGUGCCUCCGGCUAAUAUACGAGACUCUCCUCCAUCUGCGUUAGUUUAAGAUGAUAAACGGUUUAUCACUAGAAGUUUGCUGUAUCAACAUUAGGUAGAUAAGAAGUUUUUGGCUAUUGACUGUGGAUGAAGAUUAUACUGGGGAAUUACAUAUUCAAGGACACAUAGAGGGAUGGUCAUAAAUUGGUUGGAGGACACUAAAGUAAAGCCGUUCGACCAUCCAAUAAUAAGUCUAAGUUCAUGCACUAUCUACAGAGUAGUUGUGGUACUUUUUGUGGCUCGCCUACAAAUGCUUCAAGCGUUGAGGUGGAUGCAGAGUGGCUUGCAAGAGUCAGGUAAGGAACAUAUUAUCUAUGAAGAUUAUACUGGGGAUUUCCAUAUUCAAACACACAGUGGCCGAGAUGAUAGGGAAUGCUUAAUCAAUGGGCGUUAAGGGGGAUGCUUGGUAGUUCCACAAUGGGCAAAAGUUCUUGUUCCAGUAAAAAAGCUGCCGACAAAUGUUGGAUCGCGUAUUAGAAACUAUGUGUAUGAAGCGUUAAAGCAAAAUCAAAGUUAUUCCAAGAUCGGGGUCACAACAUGCGAGAUUGGCUAUAAUUUUGAUGAGUAAAGAUGACCUCUGAACCGCGUAAGGAGUUUGAGGAGCCUCAAAGUUAUUCCAAGUAGAAUGUUGGACAUGUAAUUUUGAUGUCAAACCCAACACUUGUCCAACAGUUGAUGUGGGAUUAAAAAUUCACAACAAUAUUCUCUUCGGUGGGCUCACGAUUAUGGGAACACCAAGUAGAUAGGAACUCUCUUUGAGGCUGUGAAAACACUCGGGUCAAAACUUCUAUCAUUCCGCCAUCUCAAUUCAAUUGUUGUGUCUCCGGCUAGUAUACACAUGAGUCCAUGAACACGACCCUCCUCCGUGUGCCAUUCCACAGUCGGCUAAAGUGCUAAGAUGCAUGUCAUACAUCAAACUUCAUGUAAUUAGCUAUAGCAGCAAUCAGACUCGAUUUCCCAGUCCCAGGCGGACCAUACAACAAGUACCCCCUCUUCCACACCUUCCCAACUAUUUUAUAAAACUCCUUCCUCUCCCAAAACAAUUAUCAAUUAUAACCUUCUUUAUCUUUGGGUCCAUCGCCAACAUCUCUAACGAUGGACGGUCCAGGUUUACCUAUCCCAUGUACCCGCUCAAGUGUUGCAGGCAUUGAUUUGGAUGAACAGGAAGUCUAUUGAUGAGAACCAAAAUCUCAAGGUUGAAAGCUACUCCAUGGAGCUUAAGUAUGGAGUUACGCGAUACACCACAUAGUUGUGGUCAACCCUUAUUCAUAGAAGUCUUGAUGAAUCAAAACAAUGCAUAGCUAAGAAGUUUUUGGCUAAUGAUUGUGUACCAAGAUUAUACUGGAGAUUUCCAAAUGAGUUAUGUAUGGUUUAUUUAGUUCUUGUGGUUGUUUUACC